rnacentral:rRNA from 1 species
GAUGAACGCUAGCGGCAGGCUUAACACAUGCAAGUCGAGGGGCAGCGAGGGUAGCAAUACCUGUCGGCGACCGGCGGAAGGGUGAGUAACGCGUGAGCAACAUACCCGUAUCAGUGGGAUAAUACAGGGAAACUUGUUCUAAUAUCGCAUAAUAUUAUUCAGAGGCAUCUUUGGAUAAUUAAAGUUACGGCGGAUACGGAAUGGCUCGCGUGACAUUAGCUAGAUGGUAGGGUAAUGGCCUACCAUGGCGAUGAUGUCUAGGGGUUCUGAGAGGGAGGUCCCCCAACUGGAACUGAGACACGGUCCAGACUCCUACGGGAGGCAGCAGUGAGGAAUAUUGGACAAUGGAUGGAAAUCUGAUCCAGCCAUGCCGCGUGCAGGAAGGCGGCCCCUAAUGGGGUUUAAAACUGCUUUUUGUACCGGGAGCAAUAAAGGUCUACGGAGUAGAUUGAUGGAAGUACUGUACGAAUAAGCAUCGGCUAACUCCCG